UUUUGUAGUCUUGACUGAAGAAACAAGAAAGAUGAAUCUUUAUUAGUGAAGCAUGCAGGCCCAACACCCCCGCAAAAUUUACGGAUCAGUAAAACGAUUGAAAAAUUAGUAUAGUAUAACCACGUGUCAAAUGGAGGCAUUUUGUGUAGAAUUUGAAAAGGAUAUUUACUAGAGGAGAACAAGAGAGAGGGAGAAGAAAUGGAGACUGAGACCCAUACUGACCAACUUUAGUACUGGAAAGAGUUUCAGUCUUUGGUAGCUAAAUUAUUGUUCCUUGCAGAUUCCUAUCUCAUUCUACCAUCCUUCCCAUUGAGAAUAAAGUUAAAGAUUAUGUAACUGAUCUCUGCUCGGACAGUAUUUGAUGAGAGUUUGUUGGGUGUGGUCACCGAAGAACUUCAGGAUUUAUUAAGCGGUUUGCUCAAUGCCAUAUAUGGAACAGGCAACAAGUCUAGAAUAUCAUCAAUAAAGUAUUAGAAUUGGUAAAAUUAAGUUAGUUAGAAAAUAAUAGGUGACAUUAGUAAGGAGUGGUCUGGUAGGAUAUUACAUCACAUAUACAAUUGCUAUGGACGAUUACGGUAUUACAUGUACAUAAUCAGCGCUGGUUGAUUUGCGUGAGUGCUUGCGUCACGUUGAUUUGAGAGAAGAGCUCAUGGAAUCAUUAACUAAAGUUUAUGAGAGUAGGUUACUCUACCAUGGUGCUAAUACAUCUGAUAUCAUUACCCAGUACAUCUCUUCAGUUCAUAGUCUAAAGCUACUGGACCCAACUGGUGUUGUAUUGGAAAGAGUAUGUGAACCAGUCAAAGCGUAUCUGAGGACUCGAAGUGAUACAGUGACAUGAUUAUUGCCAGUUUGAUUGAUGAUAGUAACAACGACCUUUCGGUGGUACAUGUACAUGUAUUUGGUCAUGUGAUGGUCACAUGACUUGUGCUGUAGGAGCUGGUGAAAGGUGAGACUGUGUUGCUUGAUCUUUCUGAUGAGUAUGAUGAUCCUGAUCAGGACUUUGAGGCUUGGGAACCAGAUCCAGUAGAUGCCGACCCUACAACAACAGCAGGGAAGUGAACAAAACAAAACGAAGAAAACACUGGACAA